rnacentral:lncRNA from 1 species
AAGCUAGAGAAGUAACGAAUAGUCCUCCGCAGAUAUGACAUCUAUGACCUACAAUAAAACAUGCAUCUGUGGACGCCAAGACAACGGAACAUGGUUUUCUGGAAGUGGAGUUACAGUUUGCUGUGAGUUGCCAGUUUGCAGUUGAAGAUGUGAGAUAUCAGCUAUUCCUGCUGACAUACCUGGUGUUGGCAACAUGAAAACCCAACCAUGAUGAUUAUGGUUAUUAUACCUUUGUAAGUAAAAGCCUAAAAGAAA